UACGGGGGGGGCAAGCGUUGUUCGGAAUUACUGGGCGUAAAGGGCUCGUAGGCGGCCAACUAAGUCAUACGUGAAAUCCCUCGGCUUAACUGGGGAACUGCGUCUGAUACUGGUUGGCUUGAGUGCAGGAGAGGAACGCGGAAUUCCAGGUGUAGCGGUGAAAUGCGUAGAUAUCUGGAGGAACACCGGUGGCGAAGGCGGCGUUCUGGACUGCAGCUGACACUGAGGAACGAAAGCCAGGGUAGCAAACGGG
rnacentral:rRNA from 1 species